UAUUGAGAAUUUAUCUUGUUUCCCAAAAAGAAGGAUAUGAGGAAUGUUCUUCACCCUUUAUUAAGGAUUAAUUUUUAAAGGCACUUACUGCAUUCUCUCAUUAGUAUGCAAGUGUAAUCACACAGAACUGUCCUACAUUAAUACCAUUUGCAGGAAAGAAUUCUAUCAACUGAUACUUUAAAAAAAAGUCAGUUGUGAUCAUCCUUAGAACUCCCCAGUCCCUCAUUAUCAAAACAAAUGUUUGCCUGGGCUUCAGCUGUGUAAACUCUAAAUCUGCUCCUUCUUUGAGGAAUCUGUACAGUACACAUGGUAAAUCUUCCUUACUCCCUGGGCUUAUUUUGUGUGGAAUAGUGAUUAAGUACUGGAACAGCAUGGUGCUUCCUUUACAUUUCUGAUGUUAAUACCUUCCUUGCAGAGCUGGUAUGAGGGCCUGACACCAGCUACUUGCCUAGGUAAGAGUGAAUGCUCAGGUUAUUUUGCUUCACAGCUUUAAAAUAGGUCUCCAGAUAGUUUUUGUUCUUGCUGCACUAACCUCCACAACAAAUAUUUUAAGCUUUUGUGUUUAAAAAAUAACUCAAGUAAUCAGAUAUGCAAAUUGUGUGUUCCGUUAUUCAGCAGAAGUUCUAUUGGUAAUUGAAUGAGAGUCUGUGUUUUAAUUUCUCUCUCAUUGUUCUAUUUGAACCAGUCUGGCAGUGUAUAUUAGUGCCAUUUCCUCAUACUUAAACACUUGAAACAUGUAAAUGUACCAUCUUAUUCAUACAGCAAUAAUUGUGCAGUUCAUAAUAUCUUUGUGUUACCAGGAUAUGAGCUGAAAAAACUCUUACAAAAGGUUAGUUAUAAAUUAAUGUCGGCAUUCAUCUGUAACUCUGGAAGUGUGUAAGAGGCAUUAGUCAUAUCUCUACCCUGUAUUAUGUUUCCUUUGUAAGCCUCAAAAGGCUUCGAGAUGAAAUGCCUGUGUCAUGUAGAAUUUGUUCUUGACACUAGUUAAUGUAAAAUUGGACAUUGUGGGUUUAUUGCAGUUUGGGAAGACUUCAGAUACAGUGUGUUCUUGGAUUUAUUUUCUAGACUUGUAUGUAUCAAAUUCUAUAGAGAUUCAGGAAAAUAUGUUAAGUAAAGGAGUAAAUAUCAGUGUGUUAUUAAACCAUGUAACAGCUGCACAUCAUCCCUGUUGAGAACUAUACCUAUACAAUGGCACCAUUACCUCUAUUCAUUCUGUCUUUCCCUGAGUAUUGUGGAACUGUAUUGGUGAAAGCAUUUAUUAUGCUUAAAGAGUCUCCAUAAAUUUUAUUGGAGUUGUCAGUACUAUACUUGAAUUUACAUUAAACUUACAAACCUG
rnacentral:lncRNA from 1 species